AACGAGGCCGACCUGCGGCUGAGUUACCUGCGGAGGGAUCAUUACAAGUGACCCCGGUCUAACCACCGGGAUGUUCAUAGCCCUUUGUUGUCCGACUCUGUUGCCUCCGGGGCGACCCUGCCUUCGGGCGGGGGCUCCGGGUGGACACUUCAAACUCUUGCGUAACUUUGCAGUCUGAGUAAACUUAAUUAAUAAAUUAAAACUUUUAACAAUGGAUCU
rnacentral:misc_RNA from 1 species